rfam:Triticum aestivum genome assembly, contig: Triticum_aestivum_CS42_TGACv1_scaffold_404688_5BL
CUAGUACUUCCUCCGUCCGAAAAUACUUGUCAUUGAAAUGGAUAUAUCUAGAUGUAUUUUAGUUUUAGAUACGUUCAUUUUAAUCUAUUUUGAUGACAAGUAAUUUUGGACGGAGGGAAUAUUAA